rnacentral:rRNA from 1 species
UACGUAGGGUGCAAGCGUUGUUCGGAUUUACUGGGCGUAAAGGGCGCGUAGGCGGCGCGGUAAGUCACUUGUGAAAUCUCUGAGCUUAACUCAGAACGGCCAAGUGAUACUGCAGUGCUAGAGUGCAGAAAGGGCAAUCGGAAUUCUUGGUGUAGCGGUGAAAUGCGUAGAUAUCAAGAGGAACACCUGAGGCGAAGGCGGGUUGCUAGGCUGACACUGACGCUGAGUGCGCGAAAGCCAGGGGAGCAAACGGG